CUCCUACGGGAGGCAGCAGUAGGGAAUCUUCCGCAAUGGACGAAAGUCUGACGGAGCAACGCCGCGUGAGCGAAGAAGGCCUUCGGGUCGUAAAGCUCUGUUGUUAGGGAAGAACAAGUACCAGAGUAACUGCUGGUACCUUGACGGUACCUAACCAGAAAGCCACGGCUAACUACGUGCCAGCAGCCGCGGUAAUACGUAGGUGGCAAGCGUUGUCCGGGAAUUAUUGGGCGUAAAGCGCGCGCAGGUGGUUCUUUAAGUCUGAUGUGAAAGCCCACGGCUCAACCGUGGAGGGUCAUUGGAAACUGGGGAACUUGAGUGCAGAAGAGGAAAGUGGAAUUCCACGUGUAGCGGUGAAAUGCGUAGAGAUGUGGAGGAACACCAGUGGCGAAGGCGACUUUCUGGUCUGUAACUGACACUGAGGCGCGAAAGCGUGGGGAGCGAACAGGAUUAGAUACCCUGGUAGUCCACGCCGUAAACGAUGAGUGCUAAGUGUUAGAGGGUUUCCGCCCUUUAGUGCUGCAGCUAACGCAUUAAGCACUCCGCCUGGGGAGUACGGCCGCAAGGCUGAAACUCAAAGGAAUUGACGGGGGCCCGCACAAGCGGUGGAGCAUGUGGUUUAAUUCGAAGCAACGCGAAGAACCUUACCAGGUCUUGACAUCCUUUUGCCCUCCCUAGAGAUAGGGACUUCCCUUCGGGGACAAAAGUGACAGGUGGUGCAUGGUUGUCGUCAGCUCGUGUCGUGAGAUGUUGGGUUAAGUCCCGCAACGAGCGCAACCCUUGAUCUUAGUUGCCAGCAUUUAGUUGGGCACUCUAAGGUGACUGCCGGUGACAAACCGGAGGAAGGUGGGGAUGACGUCAAAUCAUCAUGCCCCUUAUGACCUGGGCUACACACGUGCUACAAUGGAUGGUACAAAGAGCUGCGAACCCGCGAGGGUAAGCGAAUCUCAUAAAGCCAUUCUCAGUUCGGAUUGUAGGCUGCAACUCGCCUACAUGAAGCCGGAAUCGCUAGUAAUCGUGGAUCAGCAUGCCACGGUGAAUACGUUCCCGGGCCUUGUACACACCGCCCGU
rnacentral:rRNA from 1 species